rnacentral:lncRNA from 1 species
CCGAAACUAAAAUUUACGAAUAUAAUUCUUAAUGAAGACCAAUAAAUUCUCCCCCAAUCGAGGAGUAGGAGAUAUGGCAAGUAAGUACAAUCUUUCCCAACCACAAUUUCUUCCUUUUCAUUGCAUGCAUAGAACAAAAAUAGGUCGAUAAUUAUACAUUUCUCUCGCAUAAUGAAAUUUGAAUUAUGUGAAAGAAAAUGUCCUAUGUACUGUCUUACAUAGACUUGAAUACAAAAGUGACACGGGCUAAGUGCAUACAUUUCAUUAACACAAAAUUUCAGCCAACUAUAAUCCAACAUAUUUCGACAUAUUACUAUAAUUUUCUUGUUCGAAUUAUAGCAUUUGUUAACUUGCAAUUUAGGGGCAAAAGAAGGUAGGGAAGGUUCUAAUUAAGGAACAAGAUCGCAAUGUAAAAGGGAUGAAUCAAACAUUUUAUGCUCAAGUAUGAAUCAUUUCAUCCACUGCACACUAAGGAGACAAAAGGCACUCAGAAAAGCUACGUGCAUAGGUUAGCAAUUCAAAAGCAAUUCAAGUGCAAUUCAAAGAGCUAAUUUCAUAUGUUAAAAGAAAAAUUAAAACAGUACACAAAUCAAAAUAAAAGAUAAAAAGAAAUGAAAAUAGAGUAGACUUCGAGAGGCUUCACCUUCUUCUUCUGCCGUGGAAGUGUUGCCGUCGAAUCGUCGGUGAAAAUUGCGGAAUCGAAGGUCUGUCGUCUGUCGCAUCUUCCUACUAGAAAACAGGAGCGAAAUCGCAAGGCCUGCCCGCGAUUGAGAAGACCGACUGGUAGUGUCGUCCAUUCAUAGACUGUGUCCAAUUGUGAAUCGUCCCAAAGCCAGAAGUUGAAUGGCGGACGUGGAGACAGAGACGGUACGACGAGAUGUGGAAGAAGAAAUGGGUUGAAUGGUAAAAUU